rnacentral:tRNA from 1 species
CACGGUGUGGUGGAACGGUAGACACGUUGGUUUGUCAAACCAAUGCCUAAAAGCGUACGGGUUCGAGUCCCGUUACCGAUUA